GUAUGGCUCAAUGGUAGAGUAUCUGCUUUGCAUGCAGAAGUCUCCAGGUUCAGCUCCCGGCAUCACCA
rnacentral:tRNA from 1 species